GGUACAAUCUCACAGUAUACAUAUAUAAAUAGACAUAUAGCAUAUACUAUUUUAUUUGUACAAAGAUGGGCAAUACAAAGAUCUCUGCUCUCACAAUGUUAUUCUUACUAGCUUUCUUCACCUUUGCGUCAGAUAUGUGUAUGAAAUCAGAAGGAAAGGGGUUUGGUGAAAUGAAGACUUGUAAGAUUGAUAAAGAAUGUGAAUCUUACUGUGUGACUGGAAAUGGAGUAUGUGAUCUGGGAUGGUGUUGGUGUUUUCGUCCACCAUCUUCUGUCAACAGUAUUCCUAUUAGAAUAGUCCCAAAUUGAAAAUUAAGAAAUUGAAUAGAGAUGAAAUUAUCUUAUCUAGAUCAAAGUUAUAUGUAAAAUAAAUAUCAAUAAAAAAUAGAAAUAUAUAUUUUAUUACAAA